rnacentral:SRP_RNA from 1 species
ACAUGGGCCAGUCCUGUACGGCCAGCUCCCUCGGAAUCCUCCAGGACGGGAACGUAGCAAAGGUACUUGGUUGUAGCGGCGCGAUACUGACCGCUGGCCCACC